UACCUUUGCCGGCGACCGGCGCACGGGUGAGUAACACGUAUGCAAUCCACCUGUAACAGGGGGAUAACCCGGAGAAAUCCGGACUAAUACCCCAUAAUAUGGGCUCUCCGCAUGGAGGGUUCAUUAAAGAGAGCAAUUUUGGUUACAGACGAGCAUGCGCUCCAUUAGCCAGUUGGCGGGGUAACGGCCCACCAAAGCGACGAUGGAUAGGGGUUCUGAGAGGAAGGUCCCCCACAUUGGAACUGAGACACGGUCCAAACUCCUACGGGAGGCAGCAGUGAGGAAUAUUGGUCAAUGGUCGGCAGACUGAACCAGCCAAGUCGCGUGAGGGAAGACGGCCCUACGGGUUGUAAACCUCUUUUGUCGGAUAGUAAAGUACGCUACGUGUAGCGUAUUGCAAGUAUCCGAAGAAAAAGCAUCGGCUAACUCCGUGCCAGCAGCCGCGGUAAUACGGAGGAUGCGAGCGUUAUCCGGAUUUAUUGGGUUUAAAGGGUGCGUAGGCGGCACGCCAAGUCAGCGGUGAAAUUUUCGGGCUCAACCCGGACUGUGCCGUUGAAACUGGCGAGCUAGAGUGCACAAGAGGCAGGCGGAAUGCGUGGUGUAGCGGUGAAAUGCAUAGAUAUCACGCAGAACCCCGAUUGCGAA
rnacentral:rRNA from 1 species